AGGGCCGCAGUAAUUUGACUGUGCGAAGGUAGCAUAAUCAUUAGUCUUUUAAUUGGAGGCUUGUAUGAAUGGUUGGAUGAGGGAUGAACUGUCUUGUGUGUAUUGUUUGAAUUUAACUUUUAAGUGAAAAGGCUUAGAUUAUUUAGGGGGACGAUAAGACCCUAUAAAACUUAAUAUUGAUGUUUAUAAAUUAUGGAUAAAGUUUAAAAUGAUUUUUAGGUUUUAAUAUUUCAUUGGGGCGAUGAAGAUAUAAUAGUUAACUGUUUUGUAAAUUAAAUAAUAAUUAUUAGAUAAUGAUCCUAUAUUAUGGAUUAUAAGAUCAAGUUACUUUAGGGAUAACAGCGUAAUUUUCUUUGAGAGUUCUUAUCGACAAGAGUAGUUGCGACCUCGAUGUUGAAUUAAAAUUUCAGCUGGGUGAAGCAGCUCAGCUAGUAGGUCUGUUCGACCUUUAAAAUUUUA
rnacentral:rRNA from 1 species